rnacentral:rRNA from 1 species
GAUAAACGCUGGCGGCGUGCCUAAUACAUGCAAGUCGAGCGAACGGACGAGAAGCUUGCUUCUCUGAUGUUAGCGGCGGACGGGUGAGUAACACGUGGAUAACCUACCUAUAAGACUGGGAUAACUUCGGGAAACCGGAGCUAAUACCGGAUAAUAUUUUGAACCGCAUGGUUCAAAAGUGAAAGACGGUCUUGCUGUCACUUAUAGAUGGAUCCGCGCUGCAUUAGCUAGUUGGUAAGGUAACGGCUUACCAAGGCAACGAUGCAUAGCCGACCUGAGAGGGUGAUCGGCCACACUGGAACUGAGACACGGUCCAGACUCCUACGGGAGGCAGCAGUAGGGAAUCUUCCGCAAUGGGCGAAAGCCUGACGGAGCAACGCCGCGUGAGUGAUGAAGGUCUUCGGAUCGUAAAACUCUGUUAUUAGGGAAGAACAUAUGUGUAAGUAACUGUGCACAUCUUGACGGUACCUAAUCAGAAAGCCACGGCUAACUACGUGCCAGCAGCCGCGGUAAUACGUANGUGGCAAGCGUUAUCCGGAAUUAUUGGGCGUAAAGCGCGCGUAGGCGGUUUUUUAGUCUGAUGUGAAAGCCCACGGCUCAACCGUGGAGGGUCAUUGGAAACUGGAAAACUUGAGUGCAGAAGAGGAAAGUGGAAUUCCAUGUGUAGCGGUGAAAUGCGCAGAGAUAUGGAGGAACACCAGUGGCGAAGGCGACUUUCUGGUCUGUAACUGACGCUGAUGUGCGAAAGCGUGGGGAUCAAACAGGAUUAGAUACCCUGGUAGUCCACGCCGUAAACGAUGAGUGCUAAGUGUUAGGGGGUUUCCGCCCCUUAGUGCUGCAGCUAACGCAUUAAGCACUCCGCCUGGGGAGUACGACCGCAAGGUUGAAACUCAAAGGAAUUGACGGGGACCCGCACAAGCGGUGGAGCAUGUGGUUUAAUUCGAAGCAACGCGAAGAACCUUACCAAAUCUUGACAUCCUUUGACAACUCUAGAGAUAGAGCCUUCCCCUUCGGGGGACAAAGUGACAGGUGGUGCAUGGUUGUCGUCAGCUCGUGUCGUGAGAUGUUGGGUUAAGUCCCGCAACGAGCGCAACCCUUAAGCUUAGUUGCCAUCAUUAAGUUGGGCACUCUAAGUUGACUGCCGGUGACAAACCGGAGGAAGGUGGGGAUGACGUCAAAUCAUCAUGCCCCUUAUGAUUUGGGCUACACACGUGCUACAAUGGACAAUACAAAGGGCAGCGAAACCGCGAGGUCAAGCAAAUCCCAUAAAGUUGUUCUCAGUUCGGAUUGUAGUCUGCAACUCGACUACAUGAAGCUGGAAUCGCUAGUAAUCGUAGAUCAGCAUGCUACGGUGAAUACGUUCCCGGGUCU